rnacentral:sRNA from 1 species
UAACAGAACAAUUCAAAACUUGUGUAAACAGCAUAACAGUAUUAAGCUAGAGCGACUCGGCUGUAAACAACAGAGCAAAAGAUUACAGCUGUAAUGAAUAUUCUUGACUGGGAGUCAAAGCAAAAGCCCUGGCCACAUUUUUAUUGAAUGCCCUUGACUUGAACUGGUAUGCAUAUGCACUCUCUUGACUGGAACCUUAAUAAAUGGCCUCCGGAACUCUUUUGAAUGUCUUUGACCGAAAUUCUCAUGGAUGAACUUCGCCACAUAUAUUUACUAUAUAUGUAAUUAUGAUUGUAUUUGGCAAUGCAGGACUUUAAUAGGGCCCUCUGGUAAUAGUGACAGCAUUUUAUAGAUGAUACAGUAGUCGGUCAACAGUAAACCAAAACAAAACAGAAACGUACGGCUAUAUACCCAGAAUAUGCCAGAGGAUGCGCCUUGGGAAUUUGGCAGUUUUCUUUUAGAUGCAUGUAGUAAGAGGGUCUAAGUAACAAAUUCAAAUGUUGUAAAAUUUGAAACACUAGUUAAUGUCACAAACAUAAACCAACUUAUCAAUAUUUGUAAACUAUAGCAUGUAGAUACUAUAUUUGAGAGAGUUAGCUCUCUUUGUUAACUUGAACCAAUUAUCUGUUAUCCCUUCAUGUUAUCCUGAUGCCUGUAUCAAUGAUUUUCAUCUAUUAUAUUGUAGUUUGUAUAUACUGUACAUACGUAUUUUCUCUUCACUGUAAAUUCAGUUAUGAGAAUAAAGUUCAUUAAUUG